rnacentral:rRNA from 1 species
UGGGGAAUAUUGCGCAAUGGGCGAAAGCCUGACGCAGCGACGCCGCGUGGGGGAUGAAGGCCUUCGGGUUGUAAACCUCUUUCAGCAGGGACGAAGGUGACGUGUACCUGCAGAAGAAGCGCCGGCUAACUACGUGCCAGCAGCCGCGGUAAUACGUAGGGCGCGAGCGUUGUCCGGAAUUAUUGGGCGUAAAGAGCUCGUAGGCGGCUGGGUCGCGUCUGCCGUGAAAGCCCGCGGCUUAACCGUGGGUCUGCGGUGGAUACGGGCCGGCUAGAGGCAGGCAGGGGCAAGUGGAAUUCCUGGUGUAGCGGUGAAAUGCGCAGAUAUCAGGAGGAACACCAGUGGCGAAGGCGGCCGCCUGGCCUGUUACUGACGCUGAGGCACGAAAGCGUGGGGAGCAAAUAGGAUUAGAUACCC